GAAAGCGCAACUGUAGUAUCCAUUUUCCGCUAGAAAUUCAAUUGUUAUAAACUUUAGAGACAAAACUUUCCUAAUAUGCCAGUUUCUGCUGUCAUGGAAGAUGAACGUCCGGCAUGAUUUUGGUGCACGCGAGGAACGUGUUUUUGUUGUUACGUCACAGGGUGUGAAUAGCUCAGCUGUGUGGCCGAGGCUAUUCGUACCAGGGGUGCAAAUAGACACUCCGUUAAAGCACUCCGUUAAAUACCUGUACAUUUUUAU